GGCGGGCCCCCUCGCAUCGAGGCGCCGUAAACCUGGUCAGGUCGGGAACGAAGCAGCCAUAGCGGAAUUCCCCGAGUGCCGAGGAUCAGGCUCGCCUUU
rnacentral:SRP_RNA from 1 species